rnacentral:rRNA from 1 species
AAAGUCUAAACGACUCUCGCCAACGGAUAUMUCGGCUCUCGCAUCGAUGAAGAACGCAGCGAAAUGCGAUACUUGGUGUGAAUUGCAGAAUCCCGUGAACCAUCGAGUCUUUGAACGCAAGUUGCGCCCGAAGCCUUGGCUGAGGGCACGUCUGCCUGGGU